AGAGGUUGAUCCUGGGUCAGGACAAACGCUGGCGGCGUGCUUAACACAUGCAAGUCGAGCGAUGAAACACCUUCGGGUGUGAAUUAGCGGCGAACGGGUGAGGAACACGUGAGAAAUCUGCCUUCAACACUGGGAUAACUCCGGGAAACCGGGGCUAAUACCGGAUAUGAAAUCUGCGGGCAUCCGCGGAUUUGGAAAGUUUUUCGGUUGAAGAUGAUCUCGCGGCCUAUCAGCUUGUUGGUGAGGUAAUGGCUCACCAAGGCGACGACGGGUAGCCGGCCUGAGAGGGCGACCGGCCACACUGGGACUGAGACACGGCCCAGACUCCUACGGGAGGCAGCAGUGGGGAAUAUUGGGCAAUGGAGGAAACUCUGACCCAGCGACGCCGCGUGCGGGAUGAAGGCCUUCGGGUUGUAAACCGCUUUCAGCAGGGAAGAAGCGAAAGUGACGGUACCUGCAGAAGAAGCACCGGCUAACUAUGUGCCAGCAGCCGCGGUAAUACAUAGGGUGCAAGCGUUGUCCGGAAUUAUUGGGCGUAAAGAGCUCGUAGGUGGUUCGUCACGUCGGAUGUGAAAAUCUGGGGCUUAACCCCAGACCUGCAUUCGAUACGGGCGAGCUUGAGUAUGGUAGGGGAGUCUGGAAUUCCUGGUGUAGCGGUGGAAUGCGCAGAUAUCAGGAGGAACACCAAUGGCGAAGGCAGGACUCUGGGCCAUUACUGACACUGAGGAGCGAAAGCGUGGGGAGCGAACAGGAUUAGAUACCCUGGUAGUCCACGCCGUAAACGGUGGGCACUAGUUGUGGGGACCUUCCACGGUCUCUGCGACGCAGCUAACGCAUUAAGUGCCCCGCCUGGGGAGUACGAUCGCAAGAUUAAAACUCAAAGGAAUUGACGGGGCCCCGCACAAGCAGCGGAGCAUGCGGCU
rnacentral:rRNA from 1 species